AGCGAACGCUGGCGGCAGGCCUAACACAUGCAAGUCGAACGGACCCUUCGGGGUUAGUGGCGGACGGGUGAGUAACACGUGGGAACGUGCCCUUUGGUUCGGAACCACUCAGGGAAACUUGAGCUAAUACCGAAUGUGCCCUUCGGGGGAAAGAUUUAUCGCCAUUGGAGCGGCCCGCGUCUGAUUAGCUAGUUGGUUGGGUAACGGCCUACCAAGGCGACGAUCAGUAGCUGGUCUGAGAGGAUGAUCAGCCACAUUGGGACUGAGACACGGCCCAAACUCCUACGGGAGGCAGCAGUGGGGAAUCUUGCGCAAUGGGCGAAAGCCUGACGCAGCCAUGCCGCGUGAAUGAUGAAGGUCUUAGGAUUGUAAAAUUCUUUCACCGGGGACGAUAAUGACGGUACCCGGAGAAGAAGCCCCGGCUAACUUCGUGCCAGCAGCCGCAGUAAGAC
rnacentral:rRNA from 1 species